AUAACAAUACAGGACUCUUUCCAGGCCCUGUAAUUGGAAUGAGUACACUUUAAAUCCUUUAACGAGGUUCUAUUGGAGGGCAGAAAGACUGACCCGUGACCCUGAAACUCCACUAUCGCCUGCUGCUGCUCACACAGUCUCUCCAG